rnacentral:rRNA from 1 species
GAUGAACGCUGGCGGCGUGCCUAAUACAUGCAAGUCGAGCGAACGGACGAGAAGCUUGCUUCUCUGAUGUUAGCGGCGGACGGGUGAGUAACACGUGGAUAACCUACCUAUAAGACUGGGAUAACUUCGGGAAACCGUAGCUAAUACCGGAUAAUAUUUUGAACCGCAUGGUUCAAAAGUGAAAGACGGUCUUGCUGUCACUUAUAGAUGGAUCCGCGCUGCAUUAGCUAGUUGGUAAGGUAACGGCUUACCAAGGCAACGAUGCAUAGCCGACCUGAGAGGGUGAUCGGCCACACUGGAACUGAGACACGGUCCAGACUCCUUCGGGAGGCAGCAGUAGGGAAUCUUCCGCAAUGGGCGAAAGCCUGACGGAGCAACGCCGCGUGAGUGAUGAAGGUCUUCGGAUCGUAAAACUCUGUUAUUGGGGAAGAACAUAUGUGUAAGUAACUGUGCACAUCUUGACGGUACCUAAUCAGAAAGCCACGGCUAACUACGUG